rnacentral:rRNA from 1 species
GACGAACGCUGGCGGCGUGCUUAACACAUGCAAGUCGAACGGAAAGGCCCUGCUUUUGUGGGGUGCUCGAGUGGCGAACGGGUGAGUAACACGUGAGUAACCUGCCCUUGACUUUGGGAGAACUUCAGGAAACUGGGGCUAAUACCGGAUAUGAGCUCCUGCUGCAUGGUGGGGGUUGGAAAGUUUCGGCGUUUGGGGAUGGACUCGCGGCUUAUCAGCUUGUUGGUGGGGUAGUGGCUUACCAAGGCUUUGACGGGUAGCCGGCCUGAGAGGGUGACCGGCCACAUUGGGACUGAGAUACGGCCCAGACUCCUACGGGAGGCAGCAGUGGGGAAUAUUGCACAAUGGGCGGAAGCCUGAUGCAGCAACGCCGCGUGCGGGAUGACGGCCUUCGGGUUGUAAACCGCUUUCGCCUGUGACGAAGCGUGAGUGACGGUAAUGGGUAAAGAAGCACCGGCUAACUACGUG